rnacentral:rRNA from 1 species
GUCCUCAUGUAUUUUUAUGAGGUCUGACCUGCCCAGUGAAUAAUAUUUAACGGCCGCGGUAUUUUGACCGUGCAAAGGUAGCAUAAUCAUUAGCCUUUUAAUAGGAGGCUGGAAUGAAUGGUUUUACGAAUCAUUAACUGUCUCAUUUAUAUAAUUUGUAAUUUAAUUUUUAAGUUAAAAAGCUUAGAUUUUAUUGUAGGACGAGAAGACCCUAUAGAGCUUUACAUUUAAUUUUUUAGUUUAACUUUGUUGAAUAAUAAAUUAUUAAGAAAUAAUUGUUUUGUUGGGGUGAUAAAUUAAUAUAAUAAACUUUUUUAUAUUAUUAACAAAUAUUUUUGAUUUAUACGAUCCAUUAUUAUUGAUUAAUAGAUUAAGUUACCUUAGGGAUAACAGCGUAAUCUUCUUUUGGAGUUCAAAUUUACAAGAAGGCUUGCGACCUCGAUGUUGGAUUAAGAUGAUAAUUUGGUGUAGUCGUUAAAUUGAUAGGUCUGUUCGACCUUUAAAAUCUUACAUGAUCUGAGUUCAGACCGG